rnacentral:rRNA from 1 species
AUUGAACGCUGGCGGCAGGCCUAACACAUGCAAGUCGAACGGCAACAGGGGUGAGCUUGCUUAUUCGCUGACGAGUGGCGGGCGGGUGAUAAAUGUCUGGGAAACUUCCUGAGGGAGGUAGAUCACUACUGGCAACGGUAGCUCAUACCACAUAACGCCGCAAGACCAAAGAGGCGGUCCUUCCGGCCGCUUUCCAGCUGAUGUGCCCAGGUGGGAUUAGCUAGUAGGUGGGGUAACGGCUCACCAAGGCGACGAUCCCUAGCUGGUCUGAGAGGAUGACCAGCCACACUGGAACUGAGACACGGUCCAGACUCCUACGGGAGGCAGCAGUGGGGAAUUUUGCACAAUGGGCGAAAGCCUGAUGCAGCAAUGCCGCGUGUGUGAAGAAGGCCUUCGGGUUGUAAAGUACUUUCAGCGGGGAGGAAGGGAGUAGAGCUAAUACCUUUGCGCAUUGACGUUACCCGAAGAAGAAGCACCGGCUAACUACGUG